GAUGAACGCUGGCGGCGUGCCUAAUACAUGCAAGUCGAGCGAACAGACGAGGAGCUUGCUCCUUUGACGUUAGCGGCGGACGGGUGAGUAACACGUGGAUAACCUACCUAUAAGACUGGGAUAACUUCGGGAAACCGGAGCUAAUACCGGAUAACAUGUUGAACCGCAUGGUUCAGCAGUGAAAGACGGUCUUGCUGUCACUUAUAGAUGGAUCCGCGCCGCAUUAGCUAGUUGGUAAGGUAACGGCCUACCAAGGCAACGAUGCGUAGCCGACCUGAGAGGGUGAUCGGCCACACUGGAACUGAGACACGGUCCAGACUCCUACGGGAGGCAGCAGUAGGGAAUCUUCCGCAAUGGGCGAAAGCCUGACGGAGCAACGCCGCGUGAGUGAAGAAGGUCUUCGGAUCGUAAAACUCUGUUAUUAGGGAAGAACAAAUGUGUAAGUAACUAUGCACGUCUUGACGGUACCUAAUCAGAAAGCCACGGCUAACUACGUG
rnacentral:rRNA from 1 species